CCCUUGAGUUGGGUAUAACAUUCCUAACGGGGUGCUAAUACCGAAUGACACGACCGGAUCGCAUGGUUUGGUCGUCAAAGCUGGCCUCUACUGUAAGCUAGCGCUUGAGGAUGGUCCCGCGUCCCAUUAGCUUGUUGGUAGGGUAAUGGCCUACCAAGGCUACGAUGGGUAGCUGGUCUGAGAGGAUGGUCAGCCACACUGGGACUGAGAUACGGCCCAG
rnacentral:rRNA from 1 species